UACAGAGGUGGCAAGCGUUGUCCGGAUUUACUGGGCGUAAAGAGCUCGUAGGCGGUGUGUCACGUCGGCCGUGAAAACCUGCAGCUUAACUGUGGGCGUGCGGUCGAUACGGGCAUCACUGGAGUUCGGCAGGGGAGACUGGAAUUCCGAGUGUAGAGGUGAAAUUCGUAGAUAUUCGGAGGAACACCAGAAGCGAAGGCGGCCAACUGGCCCGAUACUGGACGCUGAGGCGCGAAAGCGUGGGGAGCGAACAGG
rnacentral:rRNA from 1 species